rnacentral:rRNA from 1 species
CAAUAGCGUAUAUUAAAGCUGUUGCGGUUAAAAAGCUCGUAGUUGGAUUUCUGUCAAGGACAACUGGUCCGCCCUCCGGGUGAGCACAUAGUUUGGUCUUGACAUCUUGCUGGAAGCUGUUGCUGCACUUGGCUGUGUGGCGCAGUGUUCAGCACUUUCACUUUGAGGAAAUUGGAGUGUUUCAAGCAGGCACAUGCCUUUGGACACAGUAGCAUGGAAUAAUUAGAUUGGGCUUUUGCUCCAAUUUGUCGGUUUCUGGAGCUGAGGUGAGUAUUAAUGGGGAUUGUUGGGGGCAUCCGAAUUUAGCCGUCAGAGGUGAAAUUCUUAGAUCAGCUGAAGACGGACGACUGCGAAAGCGUUUGCCCAGGAUGUUUUCAUUGA